rnacentral:rRNA from 1 species
UACGGAGGGUGCAAGCGUUACUCGGAAUCACUGGGCGUAAAGAGCGCGUAGGCGGGAUAGCAAGUCAGAUGUGAAAUCCUAUGGCUUAACCAUAGAACUGCAUUUGAAACUGUUAUUCUAGAGUAUGGGAGAGGUAGGUGGAAUUCUUGGUGUAGGGGUAAAAUCCGUAGAGAUCAAGAGGAAUACUCAUUGCGAAGGCGGCUUACUGGACGAUGACUGACGCUGAGGCUCGAAAGCGUGGGGAGCAAACAGG